GUUUUCCCAGCCAGACUUGAAAACCGGCGAAGGGGUAACCCUUCCGUGAGUUCGAAUCUCACCGCCUCCGCCA
rnacentral:tRNA from 2 species